rnacentral:rRNA from 1 species
GUGCCAGCCGCCGCGGUAAUACGGAGGGUGCAAGCGUUGCUCGGAAUUAUUGGGCGUAAAGGGUAGGUAGGUGGUCUCAUUUGUCUAGGGUGAAAGCCUUGAGCUUAACUCAAGAAGUGCCCUAGAAACGGUGAGACUCGAGUCCUGGAGAGGCAAGUGGAAUUCCCGGUGUAGCGGUGAAAUGCGUAGAGAUCGGGAGGAACACCAGAGGCGAAGGCGGCUUGCUGGACAGGUACUGACACUCAACUACGAAAGCGUGGGGAGCAAACAGGAUUAGAAACCCCAGUAGUCC